rnacentral:rRNA from 1 species
AGUGGGGAAUAUUGGGCAAUGGAGGCAACUCUGACCCAGCCAUGCCGCGUGGGUGACGAAGGUCUUCGGAUUGUAAAGCCCUUUCGGCGGGGACGAUGAUGACGGUACCCGCAGAAGAAGCCCCGGCUAACUUCGUGCCAGCAGCCGCGGUAAUACGAAGGGGGCUAGCGUUGUUCGGAAUUACUGGGCGUAAAGGGCGUGUAGGCGGCCCGCUAAGUCAGGUGUGAAAGGCCUGGGCUCAACCCAGGAAAUGCGCCUGAGACUGACGGGCUUGAAUCCGGGAGAGGAUGGUGGAACUCCCAGUGUAGAGGUGAAAUUCGUAGAUAUUGGGAAGAACACCCGUGGCGAAGGCGGCCAUCUGGACCGGUAUUGACGCUAAGGCGCGACAGCGUGGGGAGCAAA